UUAUAAUUCAGUGAUUUUCUUACCUUGUAUUUUAUUUUGCAUAAUUGUAGAAAUUGCGGUGGCCAUCCGCGGAUCUACUGUUCUUGGUUUGCUUUGUCGAGUGUCCCGGGCAAGAGGACCAAGUGUGGGCGGGUAGGUAUCGGCAAGGCGGGCUGUCAGCACGGUGUUGGAGUUGGUCGGUAGUGGUGCACCUACGCCGUGUAUGGAUCAAUACUGUAGGAGGUUCCAUUGAGGCCCAGUCUAUCCAGGCACAAAACAGAGACAUCUGAAAGCAGGACAGACGUCACUCAUGGA